GGAAGGAUCAGAGCCAUGGAGCCCCGAGCCCUUCUCCUACUGCUGUUCGGAGCCCUGGCACUGACCAAUACCUGGGCUGGUUCCCAUUCUCUAAAGUUUCUCAUCACUGCCAUGUCGCGACCCCUCCGCGGGGAGCCUCACAUCAUCGAAAUCGGCUACGUAGACGACACGCCAUUCUUGCGAUUUGAGUCACCUCCAGUCGUCUGAAGCGAGGGCGGGAGUAGGUGGGGGGAACCUAAUCGUGGGACGGGAUCAGUGUCUCACACCUUCCAGAGGGUGUACGGGUGCGACGUGGGACCAGACUGGCGCCUCCUCCGUGGGCACUGGCAGUACGCCUAUGACGGCACCGAUUACAUUGCUCUGAAUGAGGACCUACGCUCCUGGACCGUGGCAGACAMGGCAGCUCAGAUCACCCAGCGCAAGUGGGAGGCCGAGGGAGUGACGGAGACAAACAGGGCCUUCCUGGAAUGGGAGUGCGUGGAGACACUCCGCAAGCACCUGGAGAACGGGAAGGAGACGCUGCAGCGCGCAGAUCUCCCAUUGACAUAUGUCACCCACCACCCCAUCUCUGACCAUGAGGUCACCCUGAGGUGCUGGGCUCUGGGGUUCUACCCUGCGGAGAUCACCCUCACUUGGCAACGGGAUGGGGAGGACCAAACCCAGGAAAUGGAGCUUGUGGAGACCAGGCCUGCAGGGGAUGGAAAAUUCCAGAAAUGGGCAGCUGUGGUGGUAUCUUCUGGAGAAGAGCAGAGAUACACGUGCCAUGUGCAGCAUGAGGGGUUGCCUGAGCCCCUCAUCCUGAAAUGGGAGAGGUCUCCCCAGUUCUCCAUCACCUUUGUGGUAAUGGUUGCUGGYCUGGUUCUCCUUGGAGCUGUUGCUGCUGUUAUGAUGUGGAGGAAGAAGAACUCAGGUAGGGUAAGGGGGACUAUGACUGUUCUUGUUAGUUGUAGAAGUUUUGAUCUCAUUCUUCUAUGA